AUUGAACGCUGGCGGCAGGCCUAACACAUGCAAGUCGAGCGGAUGAAGGGAGCUUGCUCCUGGAUUCAGCGGCGGACGGGUGAGUAAUGCCUAGGAAUCUGCCUGGUAGUGGGGGAUAACGUCCGGAAACGGGCGCUAAUACCGCAUACGUCCUGAGGGAGCAAGUGGGGGAUCUUCGGACCUCAUGCUAUCAGAUGAGCCUAGGUCGGAUUAGCUAGUUGGUGGGGUAAAGGCCUACCAAGGCGACGAUCCGUAACUGGUCUGAGAGGAUGAUCAGUCACACUGGAACUGAGACACGGUCCAGACUCCUACGGGAGGCAGCAGUGGGGAAUAUUGGACAAUGGGCGAAAGCCUGAUCCAGCCAUGCCGCGUGUGUGAAGAAGGUCUUCGGAUUGUAAAGCACUUUAAGUUGGGAGGAAGGGCAGUAAGUUAAUACCUUGCUGUUUUGACGUUACCAACAGAAUAAGCACCGGCUAACUUCGUG
rnacentral:rRNA from 1 species